rnacentral:rRNA from 1 species
GCAGACGGGUGAGUAAUGCAUAGGAAUCUACCUAGUAGUGGGGAAUAGCCUCGAGAAAUCGGGGGUAAUACCGCAUGUUUCCUAAUAGUUUUUCUAUUAGGACAAAGUCUUCGGACGCUAUUAGAGGAGCCUAUGUGCUAUCAGCUUGUUGGUAGGGUAAUGGCCUACCAAGGCAAUGACGGCUAGCCGGUGUGAGAGCACGACCGGCCACAAGGCUACUGAGACACGGAGCCUACACCUACGGGUGGCAGCAACCGGGAAUAUUGCGCAAUGGACGAAAGUCUGACGCAGCGACACCGCGUGUAGGAAGAAGCUCUUCGGAGUGUAAACUACUGUGGCGGGGGAUGAUAAUGACAGUACCCCGCUAGAAAGCACCAGCCAACUACGUGCCAGAAGCUUCGGUAAUACGUAGGGUGCAAGCGUUAUCCGGAUUCACUGGGCGUAAAGCGUACCGUCGGCGACUUGAUAAGUUUUCUGUCUAAAGCCUGAGGCUCAACUUCAGAAAGGCAGAAAAAACUAUUAAGAUUGAGGAUGUAUGGGGAAGCUGGAAUUCUCGGUGGAGGGGUGAAAUCCGUGGAUAUCGAGAGGAACGCCAUACGCGAAGGCAAGCUUCUAAAACAUUCCUGACGCUCAUGGACGAAAAGCUUGGGUAGCAAAAGGGAUUAGAGACCCCUGUAGUCCAAGCCGUAAACGUUCCUUGCUAGUUGUCCCUGCUUUAAGUGGGGGUGACGUAAGCUAACGCGUUAAGCAAGGCGCCUGGGGAGUACGACCGCAAGGUUAAAACUCAAAGGAAUUGACGGGGGAGCGCACAACCGGUGGAGCAUGUGGUUUAAUUCGAUACGAAGCGAAAAACCUUACCUGGACUUGACAUCCCACCUAUGUUUCUUACAAAAAUUUGAAACUUAGUGGUGGUGACAGGUGAUGCAUGGCUGUCGUCAGCUCGUGUCGUGAGACGUCCGCUUAAGUGCGGCAACGAGCGCAACCCUUAUCUUCAGUUAUAAGUAUCUGAAGAAACUGCCC